UUGACAUAAACAACAUUACUUACAGUCCGCCAGAGGAUUACAAGUGAAAAACUUAAAACUCCAAGGACUUGACGGUGUUCCACCCUACUAGAGGAGCCUGUCCUACAAUCGAUACCCCACGCUUUACCUUACCCCCCCUAGUUCAGUCUAUAUACCGCCGUCGUCAGCUUACACUAUGAACGCACCAACGUAAGCUAAAUAAUCUUACAUUAAAACGACAGGUCAAGGUGUAACUAAUGGGGGGGCAGAGAUGGGCUACAUUUUCUACGUAGAAAAUCACCACCCGCAGUAUGAAACUGCCCACAGGAGGAUUUAGAAGUAAAAUCGGCAAGCACGCCAAUUUGAAGCCCUGGAACGC
rnacentral:rRNA from 1 species